rnacentral:rRNA from 1 species
AUGAACGCUGGCGGCGUGCCUAAUACAUGCAAGUCGAGCGAACGGACGAGAAGCUUGCUUCUCUGAUGUUAGCGGCGGACGGGUGAGUAACACGUGGAUAACCUACCUAUAAGACUGGGAUAACUUCGGGAAACCGUAGCUAAUACCGGAUAAUAUUUUGAACCGCAUGGUUCAAAAGUGAAAGACGGUCUUGCUGUCACUUAUAGGUGGAUCCGCGCUGCAUUAGCUAGUUGGUAAGGUAACGGCUUACCAAGGAAACGAUGCAUAGCCGACCUGAGAGGGUGAUCGGCCACACUGGAACUGAGACACGGUCCAGACUCCUACGGGAGGCAGCAGUAGGGAAUCUUCCGCAAUGGGCGAAAGCCUGACGGAGCAACGCCGCGUGAGUGAUGAAGGUCUUCGGAUCGUAAAACUCUGUUAUUAGGGAAGAACAUAUGUGUAAGUAACUGUGCACAUCUUGACGGUACCUAAUCAGAAAGCCACGGCUAACUACGUG